GCUGGCGGCGUGGAUUAGGCAUGCAAGUCGCGCGAUCCUUGCUUGAUGCUUAUUGGAGUGCUUGCACAAAGAUAAGCGGAUAGCGCUGGAUAGCGGCAAACGGGUGAGUAACACGUGAGAAAUUUUCCCAAAAGCCGAACAUAGCUUCGUGAAAACGGAGGUAAUAUUCGAUGUGGCCCUUGAAUCGCAUGGUUGAAGGGUUAAAGGUGGGGACCUUCGGGCCUACCGCUUUUGGAUGGUCUCGCGGCCUAUCAGCUUGUUGGUGAGGUAACGGCUCACCAAGGCGUAUGACGGGUAGCUGGUCUGAGAGGAUGGUCAGCCACACUGGGACUGAGACACUGCCCAGACUCCUACGGGAGGCUGCAGUCGAGAAUCUUUAGCAAUGGGCGAAAGUCUGACUAUGCGACGCCGCGUGCAGGAUGAAGGUUUUCGGAUCGUAAACUGCUUUUGUCAGGAAAGAAUACCCAGCUUUUUAAUAAAGGGCUGGGCUGACGGUACCUGACGAAUAAGCCACGGCCAACUCCGUGCCAGCAGCCGCGGUAA
rnacentral:rRNA from 1 species